UGCGUAGGUGGCAUGGUAAGUUUGAUGUGAAAGCUCAGGGCUCAACCCUGAAAUGGCAUUGAAUACUACUGUGCUGGAGGUUUGGAGGGGGGACUGGAAUUCUUGGUGUAGCAGUGAAAUGCGUAGAUAUCAAGAGGAACACCAGUGGCGAAGGCGAGUCCCUGGACAACACCUGACACUGAGGCACGAAAGCUAGGGGAGCAAACA
rnacentral:rRNA from 1 species